CGAUACAGGGUGACAGCCCCGUACACAAAAAUGCACAUGCUGUGAGCUCGAUGAGUAGGGCGGGACACGUGGUAUCCUGUCUGAAUAUGGGGGGACCAUCCUCCAAGGCUAAAUACUCCUGACUGACCGAUAGUGAACCAGUACCGUGAGGGAAAGGCGAAAAGAACCCCGGCGAGGGGAGUGAAAAAGAACCUGAAACCGUGUACGUACAAGCAGUGGGAGCACAGAGCAAUCUGUGUGACUGCGUACCUUUUGUAUAAUGGGUCAGCGACUUAUAUUCUGUAGCAAGGUUAACCGAAUAGGGGAGCCGAAGGGAAACCGAGUCUUAACUGGGCGUUAAGUUGCAGGGUAUAGACCCGAAACCCGGUGAUCUAGCCAUGGGCAGGUUGAAGGUUGGGUAACACUAACUGGAGGACCGAACCGACUAAUGUUGAAAAAUUAGCGGAUGACUUGUGGCUGGGGGUGAAAGGCCAAUCAAACCGGGAGAUAGCUGGUUCUCCCCGAAAGCUAUUUAGGUAGCGCCUCGUGAAUUCAUCUCCGGGGGUAGAGCACUGUUUCGGCAAGGGGGUCAUCCCGACUUACCAACCCGAUGCAAACUGCGAAUACCGGAGAAUGUUAUCACGGGAGACACACGGCGGGUGCUAACGUCCGUCGUGAAGAGGGAAACAACCCAGACCGCCAGCUAAGGUCCCAAAGUCAUGGUUAAGUGGGAAACGAUGUGGGAAGGCCCAGACAGCCAGGAUGUUGGCUUAGAAGCAGCCAUCAUUUAAAGAAAGCGUAAUAGCUCACUGGUCGAGUCGGCCUGCGCGGAAGAUGUAACGGGGCUAAACCAUG
rnacentral:rRNA from 1 species